AAGUUUAUGCAUGAUUUAUGGUUUUGGGAGGCAGGAGGUUCAUUUGAACCAAGUUUCUGCCCGUUUGGCAGAAACCAGGUUCGGCAGCCGAAGGGAGUUUCGGCCGCCGAACCCCUCUUGUGGAGGCAGCAUUCGGCUGCCGAAGGUGCCCCCGAAAAGAGACUUUCGUCUCUGUCUGGCACUUUCGGCCGCCGAAGGUGCCGCCGAACCUGCCUGACUUUCG
rnacentral:lncRNA from 1 species